GUGAUAUAUAUAUAUUUUUUGACAAUACAGAGUAGAAGCCUGAAACUAAAACAAAAGUAAAGGAGAAGAGAAAAUUUUAAAGUGUGUUUGUCACACAUACUUAUAAAAGCAUGAAUAAUGAUGUAUGCAUAACAGUUUCUCAUCUUUGUUGUCCUUGAAUUUCAGAGCUAUUAUUACAGAAUAAAACAUUCCUGCCAAUCUUUGAAGACUUGAAUAAAACCAGCUGGUGGACUAAGAUGCCAGAAGGAAUAAGUAGUUACCAGGUACUCUGAAUGGCCAACGAUGGGAAGGGUUGGACUGAAAACAACUCUCAUGAUGACUUCAAAGGAUCCACCUAAGACUUCCAUUGGGCUCCCUUCCAGGGUAACAUUCUUUUCAACUUCCGUCUGGCCAGAGUUUUCCUGGUAUUCCCUUGGAGCUCACCCAGAGAAACUCAGCAAUGGAGGGCUCUGCACUGCCUCGUCCAUGACAGCCACCUCAUCAGCAAGAAGAACCAAUACAGUGGCUUCAUCACACAAGGACUGCCCACGCUGCACUCCCAGAACCCAGGACCUGGGCUGUGCUGAGAGCAAGCGGCAGAGCUGUUGGGCACGCAGAGCACCUGGAUGCCCAGGUUACUCUGGACACCUUCCACAUGUGGAAGGAAAGCCAGGGCUCUUCUUCCAGCGCCACAGACUAGCCAGCAGUGGCCCCUGUGCCCACGUGGUGCUGCCCUUCUGCCUGCUGGCUUCCCUGCUCGCUUGUCCUGGGCUGUGGGCCUGA
rnacentral:lncRNA from 1 species